UUCCAAAACGAGCCACCAUGAAAAUCUGGCUAUGAAAUUCCGGAGAAGCCAGACCCACGUGACACGUUUUUCCAAUCAGCUGCCGGUUUUCAUUUUUUUGGGCGACAAUACAGAUUAGCGCCGCCUGCUGUAAUGAAGACGUAUUACGUCUCGUGCAUGCUCAGAACGUACACUCAAGUCGGCGUCGCUUAGAUGUCUUCUGAUGCCCUCUUUUGG